UGCCUUCUUAAUCACAGGCUUGAACUUGCCAUGUCUUCUCUCCACAUCCAUUAAUGAAGUCAAUGCAGUCCCACCAACAGUCCAUUCUUCAACAGGAGCGGCUAAAUUCCCCACAGAUGAUAUUAAUCCAGUUUUUCCGCUCUGCAGGAGAGCUCCAGCACCAUAACCCAAUGCAUAGCAGUAUGUGGAAUCGAAAUUGGUUGGUAGACCACAUCUCCCUUCGUAUCCAAAAAAGUGAGAUUGCCCUUUAAAUUGACCUUUGUAUGCACCUUCACUCUUCCUCUUCUCCAACUCCGUUUCUACCAUCUGAAUAAGCAUUUUCUCUGUUUCUAUUCUAGCUACCUGAACGUUUCCAUGUGGAUCUCUUUCAAGCAUCAAUUGUUCUUGGAUUGCUUGAGGCAAAAACUCAAAAAGUUCAAGAGAUUGACUAGUGAGCUUCCUUUUCCAUAAUCCUUCAUCAUCAACUAUAUCAUGGGCCAGAAUUUCAUUUAGCUCCGCAAUAAGUUGUUG
rnacentral:misc_RNA from 1 species